rnacentral:lncRNA from 1 species
AAAUGUGUUUAUUUUGCUGUUUUAUGGUGGAAUAUGAAGCUAUAAAUUAUGUUAAACAACUUUUGCUAAGCGAUUUUAAACGAAAACGGGUAAAUAGACAUAAUCGGUAAAAAUACCUAAUGUUCAAAAGUGUGUGUUAGAGUGAGAAUUUGAUGUUGUCAUAGAAGGGAAAAAUGUUCAGCAUGUCAUAAAACAUAAGAAUAAGAGAUGAAGUUUAAUUUCCGAGCUUAGG